GGUGAGGUGCGAGAGUGGUUGAAUCGACACGAUUGGAAAUCGUGCAUGGCCUUACUGGUCAUCGGGGGUUCGAAUCCCCCCCUCACCG
rnacentral:tRNA from 1 species